rnacentral:rRNA from 1 species
CCUACGGGGGGCAGCAGUGGGGAAUAUUGGACAAUGGGGGCAACCCUGAUCCAGCCAUGCCGCGUGUGUGAAGAAGGCCCUCGGGUUGUAAAGCACUUUCAGUGAGGAAGAACGCCUGGUGGUUAAUACCCAUCAGGAAAGACAUCACUCACAGAAGAAGCACCGGCUAACUCCGUGCCAGCAGCCGCGGUAAUACGGAGGGUGCGAGCGUUAAUCGGAAUUACUGGGCGUAAAGCGCGCGUAGGUGGCUUGAUAAGCCGGUUGUGAAAGCCCCGGGCUCAACCUGGGAACGGCAUCCGGAACUGUCAAGCUAGAGUGCAGGAGAGGAAGGUAGAAUUCCCGGUGUAGCGGUGAAAUGCGUAGAGAUCGGGAGGAAUACCAGUGGAGAAGGCGGCCUUCUGGACUGACACUGACACUGAGGUGCGAAAGCGUGGGUAGCAAACAGGAUUAGAUACCCCGGUAGUC